UCGUGCGAGCUGAACGAGCUGGAGGUGUUCUCGUGCGUGCUGGGGCUGGAGGAGGAGACGGCGCUGUCCAUCGUCGACCCCGCCGCGCUGCACGUCGCGCUGCACGCCGACCGCGUGCUGCACGUGGCGAUGGGCACGCUGAACCUGCGGCUGUCGUACCACGACAUGCGUAUGUUCGCUGCUAUGCUGCAGUCGCUGCCGGCACAGGCGAGGGCGGCACUGUCAGGCAAGGUGGUCCCGAGCGCGUCGGAGGAGGACGCGCCGGCCAACAGCGUGCACAUGCGCGCGGGCGCCAACCCCGUGCUGGGCGGCGGCG